rnacentral:rRNA from 1 species
GACGGGGGGGGCAAGUGUUCUUCGGAAUGACUGGGCGUAAAGGGCACGUAGGCGGUGAAUCGGGUUGAAAGUGAAAGUCGCCAAAAAGUGGCGGAAUGCUCUCGAAACCAACUCACUUGAGUGAGACAGAGGAGAGUGGAAUUUCGUGUGUAGGGGUGAAAUCCGUAAAUAUACGAAGGAACGCCAAAAGCGAAGGCAGCUCUCUGGGUCCCUACCGACGCUGGGGUGCGAAAGCGUGGGGAGCGAACAGG